rnacentral:rRNA from 1 species
CGGGGCUUAAAGUCUUGUAAUUGGAAUGAUGGGAAUUUAAACCUCUUCCAGAGUAUCAAUUGGAGGGCAAGUCUGGUGCCAGCAGCCGCGGUAAUUCCAGCUCCAAUAGCGUAUAUUAAAAUUGUUGCAGUUAAAAAGCUCGUAGUUGAAUUUCUGCUGCAUUGCUUGUGUCCCUCUGGGGUCUGUGCAUGUGGCUUUUUUCGGACGGAGUUUCUUUGUCUGAAUGUUUACUUUGAGAAAAUUAGAGUGCUCAAAGCAGGCUUUCGCCUUGAAUAGUUUAGCAUGGAAUAAUAAAGUAGGACUUUGGUUCUAUUUUGUUGGUUUUAGGUACCAAAGUAAUGGUUAAUAGGAACAGUUGGGGGCAUUCGUAUUUAACUGUCAGAGGUGAAAUUCUUAGAUUUGUUAAAGACGAACUACUGCGAAAGCAUUUGCCAAGGAU